rnacentral:rRNA from 1 species
AUGGACAAGGGCCACCUCGGUGGCGGCGGAGGAGGAGGAGGACUGCUCGCCCUGGACGCCUCGCCGCGGCAGCUCGGCUUCCUGAACUUGCUAUCACCGGCGCCGUUCCACAGGAGCAUGGAGGCGGACGACGGCGGCGGUGGCGGCGGCGGCAGGGGGAGGAGGUCCAUCGAGGUUGACUUCUUCUCCGACGAGAAGAAGAACAUGAAGAAGAGCCGCGCAUCGGCCGGUGCUGACGCGGAGGACCACAAGGAUCAGGCCUCCGCCGCCGGACUCGCCAUCAAGAAGGAGGACCUCACCAUUAACCUCCUUACCGGGAACAACACGAGGAGCGACCGGUCCAUGGUGGUCGACGACGACGGGGCGUCCCGGGCCGACGAGGACAGGAACGGCAGGAACACCGGCGAGCUGGCGGCGAUGCAGGCCGAGCUGAGCCGCAUGAACGAGGAGAACCAGCGGCUGCGAGGGAUGUUGACCCAGGUCAACAGCAGCUACCAUGCGCUGCAGAUGCAUCUCGUCGCGCUCAUGCAGCAAAGGACCCAGAUGCCUCCGGUCCAGCCGCAACAACCUCCGACCCACGAGGAUGGCAAGAACGAGAGUGCCAUCGUUCCGAGGCAGUUCCUGGGUCUGGGCCCGUCCGGAGCCAGCGCUGACGUGGCGGAAGAGCCGUCCAACUCGUCCACGGAGGUCGGGAGCCCGCGCCGGUCGUCGUCCAACGGGAACGAGGACCCUGAGCGCGGCGACAACCCCGACGGCCCGUCCACCGCGGGGUGGUUGCCCGGGCGCGGGAUGAGCCAGCAGCAGCAGCAGCAGCUGGGAGCGGCGGCCAAGGGCCAUGACCAGCAAGCGCAGGAGGCCACCAUGAGGAAGGCCCGUGUCUCCGUCCGCGCACGAUCCGAAGCCCCGAUUAUCGCCGAUGGAUGCCAAUGGAGGAAGUACGGUCAGAAGAUGGCCAAGGGAAACCCUUGCCCACGCGCCUACUACCGCUGCACCAUGGCCACCGGCUGCCCGGUGCGUAAGCAGGUGCAACGAUGCGCCGAGGACCGGACCAUCCUCAUCACCACGUACGAGGGCACGCACAACCACCCGCUCCCGCCGGCCGCCAUGGCCAUGGCAUCCACUACGUCGGCCGCCGCGUCCAUGCUGCUCUCGGGCUCCAUGCCCAGCGCCGACGGCGCGGGCCUCAUGAGCUCCAACUUCCUCGCGCGCACCGUGCUGCCAUGCUCGUCCAGCAUGGCCACCAUCUCGGCGUCCGCGCCGUUCCCGACGGUGACGCUCGACCUCACCCACGCCCCGCCCGGGGCGCCCAACGCCAUGCCGCUGAACGUCGCCCGACCGCAUGCACCGGGGCAGUUCCAUGUUCCGAUGCCCGGCGGUGGGAUGGCCCCGGCCUUCGCGAUGCCGCCGCACAUGCUGUACAACCAGUCCAAGUUCUCUGGCCUGCAGAUGUCCUCCGAUUCGGUGGACGCCGGGCAGUUCGCGCAGCCUAGGCCGCCGAUGGGCCUGCCAGGCCAGCUGUCCGACACCGUCAGCGCAGCGGCGGCCGCGAUCACCGCGGACCCAAACUUCACAGUGGCGCUCGCCGCGGCCAUCUCGUCGAUCAUGGCCGGCCAGCACGCCGCCGGCAACAGCAACGCGAACAACAGCAACAACAACACCAGUAACAACAACGUGACGACGACUAGUAACAACACGACGAGCAACAACACCAACAGCGAGACCCAAUGA